GGCAAAGGCUCCAAGAGCGACAGCAAAACAUCCCAUUUUAAAUGUGUUGAAAACAGCCGUUUGAGCCCAACUCUGCAGCAGUUGUUGCCUUGCUCGAGGGUCGGCCACAGCCUCCGGGCUUUGGCUGGACACUGACACACUGCCCCAAACAGACCACAGGUGUGCUGCCCCUGCCAUAGGGCUCCAGACGUGCCUGGCCCACUGUGCUCUGUGGGGCUCAGCGGCAGAGCUUCUCCCUCAUGUGGGGCUGGGGCCAGGCUGGGGCCGGGGCCUUGGCAGCUAGCAACUUUGGCUGCCCUGGUGGUCCGGGAUCCAUGCCACUGGUGUCUGCCUGGCCUGCUAAAUGGCUCUCUGUGGAACCUGCCCCCAAUCAGAUCCUCUCUUGGCCUGUCCACUGCCAGCCCCACUGAGCAGGAGGGACAUGGAUGAGCUCUUGGAAUGCUUUACCUUGGCACUUGUGCCAAUUGGAAAAAGCCACUAAUCUCUGCCUCAGUCUCGGGAUUCGAACAUUUUUUUUAAAUGAAGAAAUACUUAGCCUUGGCAAAUCCUUCCCCUCCCCUAAAACAAUUUGAUUCCCUGAGAGAUUUCACCUCCUGGGACUCCGGAGUCCUUGAGGCCUGCUGUGCAGCUGACAGCAGGACCACCACUGUGCUGGUCUGCAGCAUCUUGCCUGCUGCUGUUGGAUGUCUCCCAGAUGCAGGCCGUGCUCCCCCAGUGGUUUGGAGCAAGGCACUUCUGCCCAGCACCGCUGCCCCAAGUGCAUGCUGCAUCUCCCUCCCUGCGCAGGUGCCGGGCCUGUGGGUGUGCUGGCAUCUGGUGCUGGGGCCGCACCCUGGGCUGGCUGAGAGGCAGCAAGGAGGGGUCCCCACCCUGAGCAGAUGGCACGGGCUGGACAGAGUGUCCUUGCUCAGCCCGUCAGCUCUUCUGCAUCCUCAGGCACCCUCGGGCACACAGAGCAAAGGGGCGGAGCAGGUGA
rnacentral:lncRNA from 1 species